CUUUUUUGUUUGUUUUUCCUCCACAAGUAGUAAGUUUCUACCUUUCUAGAUACCUUUAUUAGAGUUUUCUCCAAGAGCUGUAUGCUCAUCACAAAUAAAUCACUSCUAGUCUGGAGUCAGAUUAAACUGUACAAUAAAACUGAAGGGAACCAAAAGGCAGACUCAACAGGAGAGCAAUGAAUAGAACUUCUUGAACUUGUUUGUGUGUAAACCAUGAGUUCUUCUGUCUCUGACCGGUUCUGUCUUUGACUGUUGAAGAAGUGUGAGUUGAUGGAGCGGGCAUCAGCUGUGCAGAGCRGAGGAAGAUGAAGAGGAGCCUCCGCGGAGGGUAGGACAGCGGGUGAACAGGGGACAGUCGGUGYCAAGAACAGCAGGCACCAGGUGUGUCAGGGCAGGAGGAAUGAGCUCUGAAGAUGGUGAAAAUGAGGACUCCUCCUGAAGGAAAAGGAACAGCAAGGUCAACUGGAGGAAGAGAUGCAACCUUUGAUGGGUAGGAUGAGAGCACUGAAUUGAUUCACCGAGGGAUCUACUGAGUAUCAGAAUUAGUAAGGUUUCUUCCAGCCAUACAAAGGCAGCAGACGAUGCUACAGGAACUCUUAGCAACAGCUGAACUCUAGAUUUACUGCUGCUACCUACUGGUGUCUGCUUUGGCACAGCCCAGGCACAAGAUCAGCCAGUUAAUGAGCACGACACAGGCAGGACGUUGGAACUGCGUGGUGAGAAGCUUCUAAGGAGUUACCAAGAAAAAAACACUGAGAUUCUGCAAGUGCAUUAAUGUGUAUCCAUAAGUGGUGUUUUUGGAGUUUGUUUUAUAUUUAUGCUUGCCAAAUCAAUCUUUAUCUAAAGUGUUUAAGAGUUCUGUAUCUAGCACAGUGACACCAGCUACUUGGGGCCUCUAUUUUUACUAUAAAAUAAAUAUCUUGUUUUAAGAGCUGUUUUCUGAAGGGGUGUAGUAUUAAAAUGCAGUAAUUGUUUAUUCGGUAACCUUCAGGAUACUAAACUCAGUUUGAACAAUUACCGUUUUUUCGGAGUCUUCAAAAACUUCUCUUGCUUCUUCAUAAUUGCACAGCUCUUCAAAGCAUUCCCUUUCCAAGUUAUCUGGUGUGAAUGCUUCAAAAUCAAAUCUGUUAUUCAGAAGAUGUCUUCCAAUGAAUAAAUUGGCAUCCUUUUCUGAUAUGAACACUAAGAAAAAAAAUCAAAUACAUUUAAAGCUAGUUAGGAAAGCUAAAUCUAUUGUUUUUUAAAUGAUGAAAAUUCCAAAGGAGUGCAUUACGUUCAUU